rnacentral:rRNA from 1 species
GAGUUUGAUCCUGGCUCAGAUUGAACGCUGGCGGCAGGCCUAACACAUGCAAGUCGAGCGGUAGAGAGAAGCUUGCUUCUCUUGAGAGCGGCGGACGGGUGAGUAAUGCCUAGGAAUCUGCCUGGUAGUGGGGGAUAACGCUCGGAAACGGACGCUAAUACCGCAUACGUCCUACGGGAGAAAGCAGGGGACCUUCGGGCCUUGCGCUAUCAGAUGAGCCUAGGUCGGAUUAGCUAGUUGGUGAGGUAAUGGCUCACCAAGGCGACGAUCCGUAACUGGUCUGAGAGGAUGAUCAGUCACACUGGAACUGAGACACGGUCCAGACUCCUACGGGAGGCAGCAGUGGGGAAUAUUGGACAAUGGGCGAAAGUCUGAUCCAGCCAUGCCGCGUGUGUGAAGAAGGUCUUCGGAUUGUAAAGCACUUUAAGUUGGGAGGAAGGGCAGUAAAUUAAUACUUUGCUGUUUUGACGUUACCGACAGAAUAAGCACCGGCUAACUCUGUGCCAGCACG